UGGUUUGUAUGAAGAAGAGGAGCAGCCGGUGGCGCGGAUCAAGGGAGAGAGCACCGGCGGCGGAGGCGAUGACGACGCGCAGAUGGGAGAGAAUUCGUGCAUUGGGAGAAGGAGGUGAGAGCACUGAGUUAGGAGGUGGCUUGGCUCGACCCAGCCAUGGAGCUAGCGUUGAGGAUUCCCCGCUGACCUACUUGGCGAGAGAUGGUGUGCUGCCGAUGGCAGCAGCCAGAACUGAAUUGGCCGUCGUGACGCCUUUAGGUAUUUUUGUCCUCCUCACCUCUCUUUCUUCCCUUCUCUUCAUGUACUCUGUUUUAUUCUACUACUCUCUGUGUCACAAAUGUUCCUGAAUUUUUCUUUGCAGUGGUUGGGUGUUUCCAAAAAACCUGAGACUAUAGCAAGAUGUAGUUCUCCACAAAUUGCUAUUAGAUGCUCUCUCUUUACCUGAUGAUUUUCUGUUUCUCUGGUUUUGAUUCCCUGAUAUUCAAUUUAUCUAAACGCCACAAUUUCUCAGAUCUGAGAGAGGAGAGGAACAGAAGAAUCCAGCAGAAGAAUUUGGUGAUAACUAGGUGACUCUCUCUCCCUCUCAUGUGAACAUGGUUCAUUUAUGAUUUGUGCUAAUGUAAAUAUGAGUUAUGCAUAUAUUGUCUCAAUGUAUUAGAAAAAUGGUGUGGUUGCGGAACAUUUGGUAGACACUUUUUUAUUCAAGAUGGAACAAGUUGUUUUGAUGUAUUUUGUUACCGAUAUUCCUGUAAAUGGCUUACACACUUUGUUUUGUUAUAAUGUAAACAUAUGGGUGUAUGGUUAUCGGAAUUCAGAGGUCCUGCGAUAGCAUCAAGAGCCUCUCUGGUUUUGAUUUUCUGAUAUAAAAUUUAAUCUUUAC
rnacentral:lncRNA from 1 species